GACGAACGCUGGCGGCGUGCUUAACACAUGCAAGUCGAACGGUAAGGCCCUUCGGGGUACACGAGUGGCGAACGGGUGAGUAACACGUGGGUGAUCUGCCCUGCACCUUGGGAUAAGCCUGGGAAACUGGGUCUAAUACCGAAUAGGACUCCGGACUGCAUGGGCUGGGGUGGAAAGCUUUUGCGGUGUGGGAUGGGCCCGCGGCCUAUCAGCUUGUUGGUGGGGUGAUGGCCUACCAAGGCGACGACGGGUAGCCGGCCUGAGAGGGUGACCGGCCACACCGGGACUGAGAUACGGCCCAGACUCCUACGGGAGGCAGCAGUGGGGAAUAUUGCACAAUGGGCGCAAGCCUGAUGCAGCGACGCCGCGUGAGGGAUGACGGCCUUCGGGUUGUAAACCUCUUUCAGCACAGACGAAGCGCAAGUGACGGUAUGUGCAGAAGAAGGACCGGCCAACUACGUGCCAGCCGCCGCCGUAAGAC
rnacentral:rRNA from 1 species